rnacentral:rRNA from 1 species
AUUGAACGCUGGCGGCAUGCCUUACACAUGCAAGUCGAACGGCAGCACGGACUUCGGUCUGGUGGCGAGUGGCGAACGGGUGAGUAAUAUAUCGGAACAUACCUUGUAGUGGGGGAUAACUAUCCGAAAGGAUAGCUAAUACCGCAUACGAUCUAAGGAUGAAAGCGGGGGAUCUUCGGACCUCGUGCUAUAAGAGUGGCCGAUAUCUGAUUAGCUAGUUGGUGAGGUAAAGGCUCACAAAGGCGACGAUCAGUAGCUGGUCUGAGAGGACGACCGGCCACACUGGAACUGAGACACGGUCCAGACUCCUACGGGAGGCAGCAGUGGGGAAUUUUGGACAAUGGGGGCAACCCUGAUCCAGCAAUGCCGCGUGAGUGAAGAAGGCCUUCGGGUUGUAAAGCUCUUUUGUCAGGGAAGAAACGGUUGUGGCUAAUAUCCAUGGCUAAUGACGGUACCUGAAGAAUAAGCACCGGCUAACUACGUGCCAGCCGCCGCAGUAACAC